rnacentral:rRNA from 1 species
AUUAAAGGAUUUGUUAAGGCGUUGGUUGUUAUUAUAUUUAAUUAAUAGAAAAUUUUAAAUUUUUAGUAAUUUUAAUGAAAAAAUUUAUUUAACUAUAGAUUAAAGUAUUGUGAAAGAAAAUUUUUAAAUUUUUAAAAGAAAAUUUAAUUUGUUGUACCUUGUGUAUCAGGGUUUAUUAAUUUAAUAUAAUGGAUAUUAUUUUCCCGAAUUUAAAAGAGCUAAUUGUAUAUAAAUAUUAUUGUAAAAUAAAUACUUAUAAUAUGUAGUUAGUAAUGAAACGUUAUUCGUUUUUAAAUAUAUCUGGUUUUCCAAGAAAUGAAUUUAAUUCAGGAUUCUUAAAUUAUUAGGAUAAUUUUGUAUUUUAAUAGUUAUGAAUUUUAAUAUUCAAUGGGAUAAGCUUUUGGAUAAAUUUUUAUAAUUCAAGUAAGUUUGUGUAAAUAAUAGGAUUAGAAGUUUCUAUUUUUAAAAAAAUGUUAUAAUUGAUUAUAUUUAUAUAAUGAUUUAUUUGAUUUUAAGUUGUUUAUUGGAAUAUAAAUUUUAAUUUUAGAAUGUUUAGAAAUAAUGAUAAAAUUAGUAUAAGAUUUAAUUUUGUAUUGGUAAUUAAUUUUUUGAGGUAAGUUUAAGGAAUUCGGCAAAAAUUUUCUUACCUGUUUAAUAAAAACAUGGCCUUUUGUUAAUGUUUUAAGGUCUGACCUGCCCUAUGAUUAAAAUUAAAUGGCCGCAGUAUUUUGACUGUGCAAAGGUAGCAUAAUCAUUAGUUUUUUAAUUGAGAACUGGAAUGAAUGGUUUGAUAAGGAAAAAGCUGUCUCAAGCUUAGUGUUUUAGAAUUUUAUUUUUGAGUUAAAAAGCUCAAAUUUUUUAAAAAGACGAGAAGACCCUAUAGAGUUUAAUAUUUUUGGUAAAGUUAUUUUUUAUUGAAGUUUGAAUUUUACUUUUUCAAGAAUUUUUUGUUGGGGUGACAGAAAAAUUGAGUAAACUUUUUUUUAUUUUAACAUUAAUUAGUGAAUUUAUGAUCCUGACUUUUGGAUUAAGAGAAAAAAUUACCUUAGGGAUAACAGCGUAAUUUUUUUGGAGAGUUCAAAUCGAUAAAAAAGAUUGCGACCUCGAUGUUGGAUUAAAAUUAAGACUAGGUGCAGAAGCUUGGUUUUUAGGUCUGUUCGACCUUUAAAUUUUUACAUGAUCUGAGUUUAAACCGGCGUGAGCCAGGUUGGUUUCUAUCUUUUAAUAAUUAAAAUGUCUUAGUACGAAAGGACCAGAUAUUUAAAUAAUAUUUUUAUAUUUGAAUAAAAUU